GGUUCGAUCCUGCCCAGAUUGAACGCUGGCGGGAUGCUUUACACAUGCAAGUCGAACGGCAGCACGGACUUCGGUCUGGUGGCGAGUGGCGAACGGGUGAGUAAUGUAUCGGAACGUGCCUAGUAGCGGGGGAUAACUACGCGAAAGCGUGAAGCCAAUACCGCAUACGGCCCUUCAAAGGGGAAAGCGGGGCAAAGGGGGACCGGGCCUCGCACCAUUAGAGCGCCAUAUCGGAUUAGUUGGACAGGUAACUGCUCACCGGCGACGAUCCUGUAGCUGGUUUGAGAGGACGACCAGCCACACUGGGACUGAGACACGGCCCAGACUCCUACGGGAGGCAGCAAGGGAAUUUUGGACAAUGGGAACCCCGAUCCAGCCAUCUCGCGUGUGCGAUGAAGGCCUUCGGGUUGGUGAAGCACUUUUGGCAGGGAAAGAAACGGCACGGAUAAUACCCCGUGCAACUGACGGUACCUGCAGAAUAAGCACCGGCUAACUACGUGCCAGCAGCCGCGGUAAUACGUAGGUGUGCUGUUAAUCGUGGAAUUACUGGGCGGGAAGCGUGCGCAGGCGGUUCGGAAAGAAAGAUGUGAAAUCCCAGAGCUUAACUUUUGGAACUGCAUUCUUUAACUACUCGAGCUAGAGGUGUCAGAGGAGGUGGAAUUCCGGCGGGUGAGUGAAAUGCGUAGGAUAUGCGGAGGAACACCGAUGGCGAAGGCAGCCUCCUGGGAUAACACUGACGCUCAUGACGAAAGCGUGGGGGCAAUGAUUAGAUACCCUGGUAGUCCACGCCUCAAACGAUGUCAACUAGCUGUUGGGCCUUCGGGCCUGGUAGCGUUGUGCUAAUCGGCACGCGAAGUUGACCGCCUGGGGAGUACGGUCGAAAAAGAUUAAAACUCAAAGGAAUUGACGGGGACCCGCACAAGCGGUGGAUGACAGAUUAAUUCCGAUGCAACGCGAAAACUUUACCUACCCUUGACAUGUCUGGAAUCCCGAAGAGAUUUUGGGAGAAAACAAGAGAACCGGAACACAGGUGCUGCAUGGCUGUCAGCCUGUGUCGUGAGAUGCUGGGUUAAGUCCCGCAAGUAACGAGUGCAACCCUUGUCAUUAGUUGCUGUAAGGGCACUCUAAUGAGACUGCCGGUGACAAACUUGAGGAAGGUGGGGAUGACGUCAAGUCCUCAUGGCCCUUAUGGGUAGGGCUUCGCCAUCGCCACAACGGUCGGGACAGAGGGUCGCCAACUCCGCGAGGGGGAGCCAAUCCCAGAAACCCGAUCGUAGUCCGGAUCGCAGUCUGCAACUCGACUGCGUGAAGUCGAACUGCCUAGUAAUCGCGGAUCAGCAUGUCGCGGUGAAUACGUUCCCGGUCUUGUACACACCGCCCGUCACACCAUGGGAGUGGGUUUUUACCAGAAGUAGUUAGCCUAACCGUAAGGAGUGGCGAUUACCACGGGUAGGAUUCAUGAUUGGGGUGAAGUCGUAACAAGGUAGCUCU
rnacentral:rRNA from 1 species